UGGUAAUUAGUUUAAAUAAAACAAAUGAUUUCGACUCAUUAGAUUGUAGCUCGUAUUACAAUUAUCAA
rnacentral:tRNA from 1 species